rnacentral:rRNA from 1 species
GACGAACGCUGGCGGCGUGCUUAACACAUGCAAGUCGAACGGAAAGGCCCUGCUUUUGUGGGGUGCUCGAGUGGCGAACGGGUGAGUAACACGUGAGUAACAUGCCCUUGACUUUGGGAUAACUUCAGGAAACUGGGGCUAAUACCGGAUAGGAGCUCCUGCUGCAUGGUGGGGGUUGGAAAGUUUCGGCGGUUGGGGAUGGACUCGCGGCUUAUCAGCUUGUUGGUGGGGUAGUGGCUUACCAAGGCUUUGACGGGUAGCCGGCCUGAGAGGGUGACCGGGCCCAUUGGGACUGAGAUACGGCCCAGAAUCCUACGGGAGGCAGCAGGGGGGAAUAUUGCACAAUGGGCGGAAGCCUGAUGCAGCAACGCCGCGUGCGGGAUGACGGCCUUCGGGUUGUAAACCGCUUUCGCCUUUGACGAAGCGUGAGUGACGGUAAUGGGUAAAGAAGCACCGGCUAACUACGUG